rnacentral:lncRNA from 1 species
UUAACUCGUUCUGUUAUCGUGGAUUGAGUCUACAUUGUGAAUAACAUUUCUACCCCUUCAUUCCGUAAUUUAACUUUUAACUCUGAUUUUGCCAUCUCUGUUAUUAACUCAUUCUGAGCCGUUGACAUUGAUAGCUUUCCCUACCCUUCCUACUUAACACGUCGACUACUACGUUAACUUUACCUGUAUGAUAUAAGAUAUCACCAUCAUUCUCUACCGCAUAUUCC